UGUGGAUUUUGGGGUGAUUAUGGGUGGGGGAGUGAUGACAUUUGGGGUGAUGAUGGUGGGGGGUUCUGGGGAUGGUUAAGGGGGUGAUGGGUUAUGGAGUGAUAGGUGCAGGUGACGAAGAUGGGUGUGGGGUGGUGAAUUCUGGGGUGAUUAUGAUGGGUUGGGGGAUUAUGGGGACAGUUUGUAGGGUGAUGGGUGGGGGCUGAUGAAUUUUGGGGUGACAAUGAUGAUGGGGGGUGAUAUGUUAUGGGGUGAUGGGUGGGCAGUGAUGAACUUUGGGGUUAUGAUGAUGGGUGGAGGGUGAUGGGGAUGGUUUGGCGGCUGAUGAGUUAUAUGGUGAAUUUUAAAUUAUGAAAAUGUUAAAAGCUGUAUCAUUUCCAACAGGGAGACCCCCCCACACCCCCAACCCCAUUCCUCCUCCGGUUGGGCACAGAGCUGAUAAGACACAGGGAGGGUGGGGGAAUGGUCCUGAUGCCUCCCUCCACCCCAUGCAAGUUAUGGGGCAGUUUGAAGCCGUUUUAGGGGAGAUGCUUUAAUAUUCUGUGGUCUGAGAAGAUGGUGCUUGGAUCUGGAGCUUGCUCCUCACACUCCAGGUCUGGUCCCGGUAUGGAAGUGACUGUAGGAAUGGAGCACCCCACCAUGGGACAUUCCUGGGUCAACUCCAGACAUAAAGAGUGGUAAACUGAAGGCACUGCUAUGCAGGCAGUGCCACCUUUCAGAACAUAGAAACCCAAAAUGUUUUCAUGGGGAUUUCAAGCUGCAAAGCAGGCAGCUGGUGUCUGCUUCUCUCCCAGGAGCCAGGAACUCCCCUUCAUGGUUUAGCACAUGGCACUUCCUCCAGUGGUUUU